GAAGCUGAAGAGAUCCAGCGUGACGAGGAAGCAGCUGGGGAUCAGCAGGUUCACCACGUAGAGGGUCGGCCUCCGUUUCAGAAUGAUCUUAGGGAGGCACAGAAGAACAAUGCCUUGAGAUUUAAAUUCUCUAUGAUGUUAGAGGGUGGUUUGACCCACAGUGAUGUCUACCAGCUCCCACUCCCCUUUGGUCUGCAUCACUUCUUUGGACUCCUCCAGUGUCAUAGCAGCUGAGUAGCCCUGAAUCAUCCUGAUGUCCGAAGCUUGAAGAACAGUUUUAGUUCCGAGUUACUCGAAGCCCAAAGUGAAGUUUUGUGUUCACAACCAUCUACAUCCAGAACAUGUUCCUUAUUGCAAGUCAUAUAAACACACUGCAUUCUGAAAAAUGAUCAUUCCAACAAUUCCUGACUGAUGAGCAACUGAAAAGAUUAAAAAGCCAUACCAAAGUGUAGAUACGCCCCAAAGGUCAGAGUGCAGUUCUGGACAUCGAAGGGGAAAGUGUAGAUCCCUAACUGGCAGGAGCUGACAACUCGCUUUGGCUUGUCAUCAAAUACAUGACCUGUGUUGUUC